rnacentral:rRNA from 1 species
UACGUAGGGCGCAAGCGUUGUCCGGAAUUAUUGGGCGUAAAGGGCGCGUAGGCGGUUCGGCAAGUCUCUAGUGAAAUCUCAGGGCUCAACUCUGAGUCUGCUGGGGAAACUGCCGGGCUUGAGUGUGGGAGAGGAGAGUGGAAUUCCCGGUGUAGCGGUGAAAUGCGUAGAUAUCGUAAGGAAGGCCGGUGGCGAAAGCGAGUCUCUGGACAGUUACUGACGCUGAUGCACGAAGGCCAGGGGAGCAAACGGG